rnacentral:rRNA from 1 species
AUGUCCACCAAGCAUAAUUUGAAACGGUUAUCACUUGAUUGGGCUAAUGGACCUUACAGCACACAUGUUGGAUAUGAAGUACAUACUAAUGCAGAAGGAAUAUUAGAGGCCCUUCGUCCUCACAAAAGGCUUGAAGUUUUACUGUUAUCUAAUUAUCCUGGUGCUAAAUUGUCAUCAUGGAUGCACAAUUCUACACUGUUAGAACAUAUCAUUGAACUUUCUCUGGCUGGAUGUAAGAGCUUCAGUGAUCUUCCACCAUUGUGGCAGCUGCCCUCUCUCAGGUACUUGGACUUGGAUAAUUUGGAUAGCUUGGCAAGUAUAUGCGUUGGUAACGAUGAUACAGACAAUGUGAAAUUCUGCAUUUCUCCACCACCCCUUUUUCCUAAGUUGGAAACCAUGAUAGUUUCCAACAUGCCUAAGCUAGAGAGAUGGCACCAGGAGGUGACAGGACAAAUAGCAGUUGUAUCAUUCCCUCGGCUCAAGAAGCUAAAUAUUUCUGAAUGCCCAAUGCUAGCAAGCAUGCCCAAGAUGCUCCCUUUGCUUGAAGAUCUACAGGUAAAGGAGGCAAGAGAUAUUCCCCUUUACCAUCUGAUGAAUCUGUCUGUGCAAUCUAAUCUUGAGUGCAAAGGCUCCAUUUCUGUCGAACCUGAAGGUAGUCGGCAGCCUAUUGACCUUCAUUUCUCGAGGCUUGGUGACUCUGACAUGAAACUGAGACUCAAAGGUUUGACGGAAAAUGUAGAGCGCAUUGAAGAGGAGCUGAAAAGAAUACCUUGCAGAUUUAUCAAGGAGCUGGGCAUAAUAGACUGUGACUGCCUUUUAUCAUCUGAACUAUCCCAAAUACAACGGAAUAUAUGGAACUGUUUUGGUUUUGUUGAAAGAAUGUGGAUUUCAGGCAACAAUAAUAUAGUACAAUGGCCAGCAGUGGAAUUCAGAAACUUGAAUCGUCUUCAACGUCUAGACUUGUUUGGCUGUCCCAACUUAACUGGCUCACUUCCAUCAACAAUAUCUGAUGACAAAAAUGUCCUCCUUCCCCGACUCCGGGAUCUUCGAAUUGUCGAAUGUGAAAAUUUGUUGGAGGUUCCAAAGCUGCCUGCAUCUCUUGAGAAAUUGCACAUCAUUGCUUGUCCAAAGCUGGUAUUCAUGCCAGCAAAUCUUGGAGACAUCAAAAAUUUGAGAAAACUCGAGGUAUUUGAGUGCGAGGCCCUGACGGCAUUUCCAGAUGGAAUGUAUGGAGUGCCUGCGCUCAAGAAGCUGUGCAUGGAGCGUUGCCCAAGGGUAGAGACACUACCGGAGGGACUCCUGCAGCAGCUCCAGCCCUGGAGAAACUAUGUAUCCGUGACUGCUCCAACUUGGAGGGAGCCUUCUCAAGAGGAGGCGCUUACUGGAAUCUGGUUGAAGGAAUUCCACAGAGAUCAGUUGGCUGAUUCCAUGCGCUAA